AGUACGGAUCGAGGACACACAGAUUAGAAAGUUGCGGAACAAGGAGAUACCAAUGGUGAAAGUCCUGUGGAACCACCAUAACCUAGAGGAGUGUACCUGGGAGACACGGGAGUCGAUGCUCCAGCAAUACCCAUAUCUGUUUUGAGGUUCGUUAUAGCUCUUUUUUUCCCCUUUUCUAUGUAUUUAUGUGUUUAGUUGUGUGAGGAACAUUCGGGGACGAAUGUUCUUAAGGGGGGAAGAAUGUAAUACCCGGCUCGAGUCCGGCCUCGGAAUUCCUGUCGUCUGGUGGAAUCUCGG
rnacentral:lncRNA from 1 species